AUGGUUCUGGUCGAGCGCACGCCGUGCGCGGGGGCAGCCCCCUUCAGUCCGCUCCAGAGAUCCACUCCUAGGGCUUCGCGGGAGGCGUCGCCGCCGUCCGACCCCAUCCUCCCCUACCUCAGGUCUAUCAAGAAGGCCAUUGAUGAGAUCAGGGCACACCCAGAAUGUUAUCAUACAGCACUUGAACAGCUCAAGAUUUAUGUGACAGAAUGCAUUGAUAAGUAUGGGGACGAUUAUCAGUACUCCACUGACCCCCGGCUCCUGAAGAUCUGGAUCCUCUAUGGGGAUGCAGUUUCUGAUUUUGACAAGGUGUAUACACAUUUGGAGGAGAAAAGAAUGUUCUUAGAGGAUGCACUGCUCUAUGAAUCAUAUGCACUGUUUCUGUGUGCUCAGGGGAGAGCGCUCGAGGCUGAUAAGGUCUAUGGGAUUGGUAUUUCCAGAAAAGCCGAGCCCCUUGAUCAUUUGAAGAAGAUGCAUAUCAACUUCUUAAAACAAUUGGAGAGUAUUGUAGAAGAAUCUGAUGAGGAUGCACAGCCCAAACCAUCUAAAAUACAAAAAAGGGAGUUUACUGUGGUUGAUCCAUGGUCAGAUUCUACCAUGAGCAAUUUGCUAACGAAAAUUAAUGGUGGCCUCAAGAAGUUAACAGGCUAUCAUAAGAGCAACAAGAUCUACUCAGGAAAGGUGCCCCUAACUUCCUCACAUAAUGCUUUAAAAAAUAAAGUCGUCGAGUUAGGUGGCAGGAAAUAUCACAUCAAAGGUUCUUCUGGUACUGGUGCUUUUGCUAAAUUAUACAAAGCUAGUGUUGAUGGCAACACGGAAGAAAUAGUUGCUUUGAAGGUUCAAAAGCCUGCAUUUCCUUGGGAAUUUUACAUCUACCGCCAGCUUGAUAUGCGGAUAUCUGAUAUUCAGAGACCAAGCUAUGGCUAUGCACAUGAAGUGCAUGUCUUUGCUGACGUCAGUGUGCUAGUUUGCAAUUUCCUGCCAUAUGAAACUCUUCUGGACGCUAUAAAUUCCCAUUUAGUUGUUGGUCAGCACAUGGAUGAAGUUUUGUGCAUAUAUUACACUAUGGAGAUGUUGCACAUGCUUGAAACUCUACAUAGUGUUGGCAUAAUCCAUGGUGAUUUCAAACCUGACAAUAUGCUUGUCUGUUAUCCAAGCGAAGAGAUCACAGACGAUACCUUCAGAAGCGAAACGAGAAGCGGGCAGAAUCAGGGGCUGUGUCUUAUUGACUGGGGCCGGGGCAUUGAUGUGAAUCUCUUCCCAGCUGGCACGGAGUUCUUUGGGGAUUGUGGAACCUCAGGGUUCAGUUGUAUCGAAAUGCAAGAAGAGAGAAGCUGGACAUAUCAAGUUGACACUUUUGGUCUGUGCGUGGUUGCACACAUGAUGCUGCACGGGGAAGAGAUGAGCAUCGCUAAGGUGCCCGGAACAGGUGGAAACUACAUGUACCAACCGAAAUUGUCAUUUAAAAGGUACUGGAACGUUGCGCUGUGGAAGCAGCUCUUCACCACGCUGCUGAACCCGGGCUCCAAUGGGAACCACGUAGGCGACCUCCGGAGCCUGCGGAGAUCGUUCCAGGAUUACAUGUGCAGCAACUAUCAGCUGGUGGUGAAGCUGAACCAGCUGCUGGCAAAGCAGAAGGCCUCCCUUUGCUCAUCCUGA
rnacentral:rRNA from 1 species